AGAAUCAACGCUGGCGGCGUGCCUAACACAUGCGAAGUCGCACGAGAAAGGGGACUUCGGUCCCUGAGUACAGUGGCGCACGGGUGAGUACACGUGAAUAAUCUACCUCCGAGUGGGGGAAUAACUGAGAGAAAUCUUAGACUAAUUACCGCAUAACACUUACGAGUCAAAGCAGCAAUGCGCUUGGAGAGGAGUUCGCGGCAGAUUAGUAGUUGGCGGGGUAAUGGCCCACAAGACGAUGAUCUGUA
rnacentral:rRNA from 1 species